rnacentral:rRNA from 1 species
UACAGAGGUCUCAAGCGUUGUUCGGAUUCAUUGGGCGUAAAGGGUGCGUAGGUGGCGCUGUAAGUCAGGUGUGAAGUUUCGGAGCUUAACUCCGAAACUGCAUUUGAUACUGCGGUGCUUGAGGACUGGAGAGGAGACUGGAAUUUACGGUGUAGCAGUGAAAUGCGUAGAGAUCGUAAGGAAGACCAGUGGCGAAGGCGGGUCUCUGGACAGUUCCUGACACUGAGGCACGAAGGCCAGGGGAGCAAACGGG